rnacentral:rRNA from 1 species
CAGCAGCCGCGGGAAUACGUAGGUGGCAAGCGUUGUCCGGAAUUAUUGGGCGUAAAGGGCUCGCAGGCGGUUUCUUAAGUCUGAUGUGAAAGCCCCCGGCUCAACCGGGGAGGGUCAUUGGAAACUGGGAAACUUGAGUGCAGAAGAGGAGAGUGGAAUUCCACGUGUAGCGGUGAAAUGCGUAGAGAUGUGGAGGAAUACCAGUGGCGAAGGCGACUCUCUGGUCUGUAACUGACGCUGAGGAGCGAAAGCGUGGGGAGCGAACAGGAUUAGAUACCCGCGUAGUCCCUGUCUUUAUACC